rnacentral:rRNA from 1 species
AGCGAACGUUAGCGGCGGGCUUAACACAUGCAAGUCGAGCGAGAAAGUGGCUUCGGCCAUCAGUAAAGCGGCGGACGGGUGAGUAACACGUAGGUAAUCUUCCCUUGAGCGGGGGACAACGAGCCGAAAGGCUCGCUAAUACCGCAUAAGUUCCCAGGGUCCUCGGGCCUUGGGAGGAAAGCUAGGUAGCAAUAUCCGGCACUCGAGGAGGAGCCUGCGUCGCAUCAGCUAGUUGGUGGGGUAAUGGCCUACCAAGGCGAAGACGCGUAGCUGGUCUGAGAGGAUGAUCAGCCACACGGAAACUGAGACACGGUUCAGACUCCUACGGAGGCAGCAGUGGGGAAUAUUGGACAAUGGGCGCAAGCCUGAUCCAGCCACGCCGCGUGAGUGAUGAAGGCC